AGACUGGUCCUGAUGGCAGGAGUGUAGGAACCCAGAAACCUGAAAUGCUCCCAACUGGCUGGAAAUCUCAGCUUCCUGUGGUGCUCUGACACUCUCCUGUAUAGAAUUUCAACAUCUUCUGAGAUUUGAAGACACUUGAUGGAAAAUGUUGUAGAGAGUUCACACCAUCCAUAGUCAUUGUACUGGGAGAGAGAAGGAAGCAAAUGGGCAGGAACAUUGAUUACGGGCUUCCGCAUGGUUUCCAGUGACAGCACAGACCACAAACAUGCCAUCCAGCUACAGAAGAAACAAAGACCCAGACAAGGCCCUCAGAGGCAGCCUGGACCACUAGCAUCAACAUGGCCUCAGGACGUGGAACUUUCAUCUUAUAUCAGACCACAACGGAAUGAAGCUGGACAUCAAUAGCAACGUAUAAUACAGAAAGUACACAAACUCAUAGUGACUAAACAACACACUGCUGAGCUGUGCUAAGUAAGAAAUCAAGAAAGAAAUACAAAAGGAAUUCAAGAACUGCAUGAAAAUAAAAAC
ensembl:lncRNA